AACUCAUCAAAAAGGCUGAAUCCAUGCUUUGCCACAACCCGGACUCUUUUGAGUUAGUGGUGGAGUGAGGUCACUAAACAAACUGUCAUCGAUUAUGAACAAUCUGCCACAUCCUCUCCAUGACCUACUGAAUAGGCAGCAAAGCACCCGACCCCUUUCGAACAGACUCACUCAGCUCUGCUCUCACCAGGGUCAUAACAGAAAAUCUUUCUUACCAAAUGCAACAGUUAAUCUUUCUGUGACAGGCGAACACACAUCAUAGUUCAAUCGUCUCUGCUUUAUUAUCUCAUACAUUAUUAUUGCACAUUGGUACAGUAUUAUUGUCUAUAUUAUUAUGCUCUAUAUUUUAGUAAAGUCCGCACACUGUUAAAGUCUGUUUUUAGAUGUUGCUGCUGAAACGAAUGAAUUUCCCAUUCGAGAUCAAUAGAAUAUUUAUCGUUAUUAUGAUUAUUCUUAUCAUCCAGCCCUUUAUCUCUCUCACCAAUCAACUUUCCAUCUCUUUACUUCACUCCUCCCCCUCUCCUGGUUUACCCCAUCACCUCACCUCCGCCAUAUUCGUACUCUAUCCCUUCCUUUCCAGUCCUGAAGAAGGAACUUCGUCCGAAACGCCGACUAUUCACUCCUCUCCAUGGUUGCUGCCUGUCCCCCUGAGUUCCUCCAGCAUUUUCCGUAUGUUGCCUUUGAUUCUCACAUCUGCAGAUUUUCUCCCGUUUGCUCAGAUGCGCAUGCGCAGAGGUCUCAGGUCAUCCCGAAUAUCACGCAUGCGCUUAACAGACGAGAGGCUCCCAAGUUUCGGCCACAGACAGCAACAUACAGUCGGCCCUCCUUAUCCACAAGGGAUUGGUUCCAGGGCCCCUCGCGGAUACCAAAAUUUGUGGAUGCUCAAGUCCCUUAUUCAACCUGUCUCAGUGUGGUGGACAUUAGGACCCAGCAGCGGAGCUCUGUAUACGCAGUGUUUCAGUUCAUGAAAAUAAUCAUGAUUGAAAAUAAAGUGGAAAUAAUAAAGUGAUCGGAAAGAGGUGAAACGCCAUCAGUCAUUGGAAAACCAUUAGGCUACAAUCAGUCAACAAUCGGAACAAUUUUAAAGGAUAGCAUGAGAAAGGCUCUGCCUCGAUGAAAACUACAAUUAUUACUAAGCAACACAGUGUACCAUCGUCCUGGAGGAACGUUGCUUCGUUUUUACUGUGUACUGUACCAGCAAUUUAUGGUCGAAAAGCGACUUGACUUGAUAGAACUGAGAAGAUUCAAACAGCAGGAGGGUCAGAUAAAACAAUUAAAAUACUCAACGGGACAACACAGACCUCUGGUUCACAGCAAGCAGAAACGCUUACAACACACAUGCUCUUCCUUGUUGAGCUGAAGCUAUUCGGUACAUAAACAAUAUUUUACCAACGCAAUCCAGUGUCUUCAUUAAGAACAAACAGCGAUAAGAGGCCUGUACGAGGAAGAAACGGGGGAAAAAAAAGCCCAAGAAGUUUAACGCGUACGGACAAUGAAUUCUACUCUUCAUUUGUUGUUUAAUCUCCUUGAGGGGAGGUGCACUGUUCCCGGAGGCACUGCAAUACUGGGUCGAUACGCAGAACGGAUGGAGCAAGCCCAUAUUCAAUCUCCCUGUUCCAAGUAUCAAUUUAAUAUAUGGUCCCUAGAUAAGGGACGUAUCAGAUACUAAACUGAUAGCAGAUUU